rfam:Myotis lucifugus cont2.10412, whole genome shotgun sequence.
CAUGCACCGGUGGGGUCCCUCAGCCUGGCUUGUGCCCUCUCGCAAUCUGGGACCCCUCAGAAUGUCAGAGAGCCAGUUUCAGCCCAAUCCCCCCAGGCCAGGCUGAGGGACCCCACUGGUGCACG